rnacentral:rRNA from 1 species
GAUGAACGCUGGCGGCGUGCCUAAUACAUGCCAGUCGAGCGAACAGACGAGGAGCUUGCUCCUCUGACGUUAGCGGCGGACGGGUGAGUAACACGUGGAUAACCUACCUAUAAGACUGGGAUAACUUCGGGAAACCGGAGCUAAUACCGGAUAAUAUAUUGAACCGCAUGGUUCAAUAGUGAAAGACGGUUUUGCUGUCACUUAUAGAUGGAUCCGCGCCGCAUUAGCUAGUUGGUAAGGUAACGGCUUACCAAGGCAACGAUGCGUAGCCGACCUGAGAGGGUGAUCGGCCACACUGGAACUGAGACACGGUCCAGACUCCUACGGGAGGCAGCGGUAGGGAAUCUUCCGCAAUGGGCGAAAGCCUGACGGAGCAACGCCGCGUGAGUGAUGAAGGUCCUCGGAUCGUAAAACUCUGUUAUUAGGGAAGAACAAAUGUGUAAGUAACUAUGCACGUCUUGACGGUACCUAAUCAGAAAGCCACGGCUAACUACGUG